GACGAACGCUGGCGGCGUGCCUAACACAUGCAAGUCGAACGGAGUUGUUCCUUCGGGGACAACUUAGUGGCGAACGGGUGAGUAACGCGUGAGAAACCUGCCUUUCAGUGGGGGACAACAGUUGGAAACGACUGCUAAUACCGCAUAAUGUUAUUUGGGGGCAUCCCUGAAUAACCAAAGAUUUAUUGCUGAAAGAUGGUCUCGCGUCUGAUUAGCUAGAUGGCGGGGUAACGGCCCACCAUGGCGACGAUCAGUAGCCGGUCUGAGAGGAUGAACGGCCACAUUGGGACUGAGAUACGGCCCAGACUCCUACGGGAGGCAGCAGUGGGGAAUAUUGGGCAAUGGGGGAAACCCUGACCCAGCAACGCCGCGUGAAGG
rnacentral:rRNA from 1 species